rnacentral:rRNA from 1 species
AGAUUGAACGCUGGCGGCGUGCUUAACACAUGCAAGUCGAGCGGUAACGCGGGAGCAAUCCUGGCGACGAGCGGCGAACGGGUGAGUAAUGCUUGGGAAUCUGCCCAUUAGUGGGGAACAACCAGCCGAAAGGUUGGCUAAUACCGCAUACGCCCUACGGGGGAAAGCGGGGGCUCGUAAGACCUCGCGCUAAUGGAUGAGCCCAAGUCGGAUUAGCUUGUUGGUAGGGUAACGGCCUACCAAGGCGACAAUCCGUAGCUGGUCUGAGAGGACGACCAGCCACACCGGAACUGAGACACGGUCCGGACUCCUACGGGAGGCAGCAGUGGGGAAUAUUGGACAAUGGGGGAAACCCUGAUCCAGCGACGCCGCGUGUGUGAAGAAGGCCUGCGGGUUGUAAAGCACUUUUAGUGGGGACAAAAGCUACGGACUAAUAUUCUGUGGUCUUGAUUUAACCAAAGAAAAGCACCGGCUAACUCUGUGCCAGCAGCCGC